UCUGGAAACGGAUGGUAAUACCUUAUGACAUAACGAAGCCGCAUGACUUUGUUAUCAAAGAUUUAUCGCUCAGAGAUGGGCUCGCGUCUGAUUAGAUAGUUGGUGAGGUAACGGCCCACCAAGUCGACGAUCAGUAGCCGGACUGAGAGGUUGAACGGCCACAUUGGGACUGAGACACGGCCCAGACUCCUACGGGAGGCAGCAGUGGGGAAUAUUGCACAAUGGGGGAAACCCUGAUGCAGCGAUGCCGCGUGGAGGAAGAAGGUUUUCGGAUUGUAAACUCCUGUCUUAAAGG
rnacentral:rRNA from 1 species